rnacentral:lncRNA from 1 species
ACCUGCACCUCAAAUGACCUCAGAUCAACUCCAGACCUGAGAGAAACUUGUAUCAACCUCUUCUCAAAGGAUUCCAAGUCCUGGACCUGAUUCUUGGACAGCUGCAAGAGAGGAGGGGGAGCAAUCUGGUUGGCGGCUGCAAAGGGGAAGGGGCUAGCGCCUCCUUGCUUUUCUUUCCUUUUUAGGACUUGGCGGCAAGAAACCCUAGGGUUUCUUGCUCCU